rnacentral:rRNA from 1 species
UCCGUAGGCGGGCAGCUCAGUCAGUGGUGAAAGUUUGCAGCUCAACUGUAAAAUUGCCAUUGAUACUGGUUGUCUUGAAUCAUUAUGAAGUGGUUAGAAUAUGUAGUGUAGCGGUGAAAUGCAUAGAUAUUACAUAGAAUACCAAUUGCGAAGGCAGAUCACUAAUAAUGUAUUGACGCUGAUGGACGAAAGCGUGGGGAGCGAACAGGAUUAGAUACCCUGGUAGUCCC